rnacentral:rRNA from 1 species
UGGGGAAUAUUGCACAAUGGGCGCAAGCCUGAUGCAGCCAUGCCGCGUGUGUGAAGAAGGCCUUCGGUUGUAAAGCACUUUCAGCGAGGAGGAAGGUGGUGAACUUAAUACGUUCAUCCAUUGACGUUACUCGCAGAAGAAGCACCGGCUAACUCCGUGCCAGCAGCCGCGGUAAUACGGAGGGUGCAAGCGUUAAUCGGAAUUACUGGGCGUAAAGCGCACGCAGGCGGUUUGUUAAGUCAGAUGUGAAAUCCCCGGGCUCAACCUGGGAACUGCAUUUGAAAACUGGCAAGCUAGAGUCUCGUAGAGGGGGGUAGAAUUCCAGGUGUAGCGGUGAAAUGCGUAGAGAUCUGGAGGAAUACCGGUGGCGAAGGCGGCCCCCUGGACGAAGACUGACGCUCAGGUGCGAAAAGCGUGGGGAGCAAAACAGGAUUAGAUACCCUGGUAGUCCACGCUGUAAAACGAUGUCGAUUUUGGAGGUUGUGCCCUUGAGGCGUGGCUUCCGGAGCUAACGCGUUAAAUCGACCGCCUGGGGAGUACGGCCGCAAGGUUAAAAACUCAAAAGUG